CCCUGAUGCACAAGGUACCUUUAUGUACUUUUAAACUUUUAAACUUUUAAAAUUUUUCAUUUUUCCCUUACAGUUAAAAAAUAAAUUUUUUCAUUAUAAAAAUACAUAAAUUUAAAUAAAAUUUUACCUUUUUAAUCUUAUUCUUUUUAUUUUUUAUAAAAAAAAA
rnacentral:rRNA from 1 species